rnacentral:sRNA from 22 species
AAACCCCGGCCACGCCCGGCAGCGCGUUGCGCCCCCGGGCGCGUUUUGC